GCGGCAAAAAGCGCGCCCGCGCUGUGGAAUC
rnacentral:sRNA from 1 species